CACCCCCGAGGGGGGGCGGGGGGCGCACGCCGCGGCCGACAACUCUCCAGGCGUGCCCCGAGCCGUGCGCGGCUCUGAGGACUCGCCGCCAGCCGGGCUCUCGGAGGAGGGGGCGCCGGCGCAUGCGGUCACCGUCCCGGGCCCCUCCCCUAGACUGGCGAUCCGAGCAAAGUUGCCGGGGCACCGGGCCUCGGUUUCCCCGCUUGGGGGGGGGCGGGGAAGGAGCCAGACCGGAGCCCGGCGGUGGCUGGGGGCGCUGGAGGAGUCGACGCCAGGCUGAGCGGCCGGUUUCAGUCCCGGCUGGGCAGGAGGGGGAGACUUGUCCUUCGACAUGCAAGGACGAUGGGUGAGAGAGAGGGGUCCUAGACCCUCUCCCAGGAGGGAGGCGGACGGGUUGCUGGGUGGCGAGCUAAGUCACGUGGCCCCGUGGGAACUCGUGGAGAUGUAGGGCUACAGACCAGGAAAUUGCAGGGAUCCUGAGGUGAGGUGACUCUGGACUUGUCUGAGUGGUGACCUGGAAAGUGUGUGUUGGGUUUGGAGGGUGUUCGUGGUGGGAGGCGUGCCUGGGUGGAGAUGUCGCCACGGGCCAUAGGGUAGAAGGCCUGUCUACGCCACACACCCGGUAAGUCCCAAAGUGUGGCAACGUCUCCGAGCCUAAUUCUUACCCAUAAAGAAAACAAAGCAACCAAGCAACCACCCCUUGUGAGAAUGGCAAGUAAUGUGUGACACACUGCAGGUUUACUUCUGUUUCUUUGCCCAGGGAACCUAGAAGCCUAAACCUUUUGUGGGGGGGUGGGGGAGCGGGUGGGGGUGCUGUCCUCAGUCACUUGUCUUGAGAAGGAAAUAACGACGUCUUUAGUUUUGUUGGAGCUAAACGGGCCCCAUAACGUUUGGCACGCUCUCCUCUAGAUAUUUACUGACAUUUCAAUUCCAGCUUUCGUCAAACAGUCACACAUUUUCCUCUCUGGAUCUUACUGCUCCUGGAACGGGGAGCAGGGCUGACAGAUAAACCGACGAGAGACGCUUCCCAGCUAAAAUGUGGAAGGAAACCGCAAACGAAAACAACUUGGGUGUGCACAGAUCCCCGCAGACUGGGAGCCAAGCGUCUUCAGACGGCCUUCACAAGCGCUCCUAAUUAGGGCGGCCGCCUUUGUGCAAAAGGUUGUGUUUGCCCAUCUACAGGAAGUCAUAGUCGCCCGCUACAGAAGACGAGGAUCUGUCACCAGUUGGUGGUCCCCCUCUUUGAAAGGUUGCUCUUAGGUUGCUUCACGUUUUCAAAAAGUUAAGUGCUUGUUACAGAACCAUGGCCGGCUUGCCUAGCGGCCUACGCCGUACCAGCCCUGUCUUAGCAUGGGUGGCUUCUGGUAGGGCCUGUCUCCACCGUGGGUAGGAUUACUUUCAAACUCCUUUCUGGGAAGUAGCUGCUCGUGCUUCAGAAAGGAAACACUUGGUUAGUAAACAUGAAGGACGCUUUUCUCUGAACCUCUGUCUUCUUGACUUUUCUUGAUGCUGUGACAAAAUAGUGGAGAAAAAGCAGCUGAAGGGAGGAAGGGCUUGUUUUGGCUCACAGUUUGAGGAUACAGUCUGUCUAGGUCAUAUGGCAGUCGCAGUCAGGACACAGAGCUGACUGCUGGUGUUCAGUUGGCUUUCCUUUUUAUGUUGUCUAGGACCCCUGGCCAUGAAAUGGUGCCGUCUAUAUUUAUAGUGGGUCUUCCCGCCUAAAACUAGCCACUCACAGGCAUGUCCUGACACUUGGUGACUCAAAAAUCUCAUCAAAUUGACAAGAUUAAGUAUCACAAGAUUUCACCCCAGUUUUGCUUUCAUCUCAUAAUAAUAAUAAUAAAAUACAUUUAUUCCAAUUCUAAAAGCCCCUGUAGUCUUCAAGAUUCCUGACACUGUUUAAAAGUCCGGGGCCUUUCUAAAGACGCAGGAUGAUCACUUAACUGAGAGCCACUACAAGGUUAAUAAGCAAGCUGCCCGUUUCCCAUAUACAAUGACACAGUCAAGAUUCCCAUUCCAAAGAAAGAAGGGCCACAGCAAGGAAAAAGGAAAUCUGCCUAAAACAGAAGCAAAAUGCCGCAGGGCAAGCAAGCUUCUACACCCACCAGCUGACUGGAACUCCUAAGGAAUCAUCUGGGCUCAGCAGGGCUUGGGCGGCCCUGCUCCUCCAGCGCUGCCACCUGCGGCAAAUGGAGCCUCUCUCUGGGGCCAGCUUCACUUGACAUGUGCAGCUUCCCUCCCUGGCUUUCCCAUGCCUUUACCGCCUCCAAUGUUCUCAAGUCUCCACUGCGCCUCAGGCUUCAUCUUGCCAGAGCUCCACAAAAUGGCCUCCCAGAGGCCCCCUGCAUGGACUCCAACCCUGCCACGCAUGGUCUAGCCUCGCUGACUCUCUGGAGCUAUGGUUUUACACUCUGUGGCGCCUCCCCUCUAAACUUGAAUGCUUACAAAACUAGUAUGUGUGUGAGGAUGGCAGGUUCUGGGAUCAAGAUGGAGCCUGCCGCCACAGUUCCCUCUUGGAUCUCGGUUCCAUUGGCCUUCGUGUCCUGAUCCUGGAGAAACGCUUUUUUCCAAGGAGGUUUUGUUUUGUUUUGUUUUGUUUUGUUUUGUUUUGUUUUGUUUUGUUUGAGUAAAGAACUCCCUCAGUAGCAUUCUCUCCUUUCAGAUAAGUUUGUGUUUUGGAGACCUUGAGCGUUGGGAUCUUCCCCUAGAGUACCCGUCCUGUUCCAGCACAGAAAUCCAAGCUUCUAAUGAUGGCAGUGGUUCCUCAGCCACGGCCGCUUUCAAGUCUGCCCUGUCUAUUUGCACUCUUUCCCUCAUCAAACUUUACGGUUUUCCUCUUUUUGCUUCCUCUAACUGUAGACCUGCACAAGAGCAGCAAACGGCAGCCGUGCUUCAGUUUAGGGGCUAUCCUGUCAUGAAAUUCCCUCCACCAAACACGUUAGUCAAAGUACUUUUGGAUGCAGCCUCACCCACGUUCUCGGGACACAGUCAAGAGUGUUGGUAAUAGAGCAUGAAUGGCCCCUGGCCCAAAUCCUGACAGUUCUUGUCUCCUUGGAAGCCUCAGGAGCGGGGCCUCCACUGCCCGCAUUUGGCCUUCUAGUUUCCCAAACUCCCACCGUAAUGGCCUGUUGAUGUCUACGGCAUUCUAGGGCAAAGUUCUCCUAUCGGCCAAUUAAUUCAAAGUCUCAAAAACCGUAGAGUCGGGAUAAUAACAGCAGCGGCCACACCACUGAGCUCCAGUUUUCUCCACUAGUCACUUUUCUUGUUGCUGGAAUAAGACACCGGCAAACACGGCCGAAGGACAGGACGGCAGCCACAGAGAAUGGUGCCACUCGAAUCGAGGAUGGCUCUUCCCUCCUGAAGCCACAGACGUGCCCAAAUCCCAUCAUGUUGACGUGGGGCCAACCAUCACUGCUACUCUGCAACCGCCACAGUUCUUCCAGGCAAUAGCUUCUCUCUGGUAGGAAAGGGGCUGGAGAACCUUUGCAGACAGCUGGGGCAACCUCCAAGGGAAACCAGAAACCUAGAGGUCCUCGCUCCUGCCUGACAAAACUCACUCCUAGCUGUUUCUCUCGAUUUUCCCCCUAUCAGCUUUCCCUAGAGAGCCAAAAUGGUUGCCACUUGGAGUUCCUGAGUGAUCUUACAAACCUAGCAAACCAUGAUGAGAGUUUUGGAUCAGAAGUUUGGGGGCAUUCUUAAAGUAUUCACAUUUCUUUCUAAGGCCGAUGUUCGCCUUUCCCCCAAGCAUUUCAGAAGCAGUAGAGAACCUCACAGCUUCCUGUUGCUCUCUGUGGCAGAGUAGCAAUAAGGUGGCCCAGGCAAUGUUUCCUAAUCCCACUUUGCAAGUGGGAUUGCUGAAGCCCAGGGAAGUUCAUCGGCACACGCCUCACAGUCCACAAAGGACCAAGUCUUCAUCCUGGGUUUUCACUACAAAGAUAUUUCUGCAUCUGGCCAGAGGUACGUUUUGAUGGAAUUAGGCCAGUGUUAUAACUUUUUGAAGUGACAAAAGCACGGGGGGGGGCUAUCAUACUAGAGGGUAAUACUGUGUUUAGAUGAUGUGAGAAGCUAGAAGAGAGAGCCAAAGCCAGCAUGGCAGUAACCAGUAACGCUGAGAGUGUCACCAGCAUCUGUGUGUGCUGUGGUGUUUGGUAGUGUCCCUUAGACACCUUCUGUGGAGUUGAUGCAGAGGAAAUUGUCUCACCAUAGUUGAAUUACUUCACCUUGCUCUAGUCGGAUUCCUCAUUUGGGAAAUAACUCAGCCAUUUCCUCACAGUAAACUCCACUCCCCCUGCACACGGUUUCCCAAAGCCCGUGCCUUCUCAGGACUCUGCCCCUUUGCACGUUCUGUUCCAUUUCCCUGGAAUAACCUGCCCUCGAAUGUUGCUGUUCCCUUUCCCCAGAAUAACCUGCCCUCGGACAUGCUGUUCCCUGUCCUGGAAUGCAUUUCUUCCUCCGUAGCCUCCUUCCUCCUCCCAUCUUGGCACCAGGAUAUGUUCUUCACUUCACACAGAUAAGAAAUAUCCUGGCUAGUAGUCAUAGUUGCAUGCUGUUGUAAAUAUGCUAAAAAAGCACCCACUAAAGUGUGUGCAUGUGUGUGUGUGUGUGUGUGUGUACUGGGAAUUGAUCCCAGGCAGAUGUUCUACUCCUGACCAAUAGGGUGAGAAUUCUGUCUCCGUUUUUAAAACUUAAUCAAGGUGCUAUGGAGAUGACUCGGUAGGCAAAGGUGUUUGCUCCAAGGCUGAGGACCCACGUUUAAUCCCCAGAACACACAUGGCGGAGGGAGAGGACCAAGCUGUCUUUAACCUUCACCUGCACGCCACAGCGUGACAUGCAAACAUCCAUACAAAUAUUACAAUCUUUUCAGUUACAUGAGGGAAAGUCUUCCCAUUAUACAUUGUCUGGAGAGGAAUGAGACUUUUGUCUUUUGCCCCUUUGAUCCUCAAGCCAGUGUGAAGCCUAAGCCAAGUAUUAUUGCUGAGCGGUCAUCUGAAGCCUCAGACUGAAUGCAGGCAUAUUCAUGUGGCGGGACUUUCUUUUCUCCCGGUGUUGAACUCGUGCUCAUUUUACGCGGCAAUAAGAAUACACACUAAUUCAGCAUUUUCCUGACCUGAUGGGUUUAUGGUCAGUGGGGGAAGCACACGUGCACACGGACAUACUAUGGCUUUUCAGAUGUAACGCUUUAUUGGCAAACAGAUGUCAUUCAACCUAGGCUUGCUGGAGCCAUCAUGGAAAAAUGGAUGCUGGAAAUGGGGUUUGAAGGAUAAGUAGUCUGUCUUCGGGUUACUGUUGCUGUGAUGAAACCCUGUGACCAAAAGCAAGUUGGGGACAGGUUUAUUCCAUUUAUCUUCCAUAUCUCAGUCAUCAAAGGAAGUCAGGACAGAAACCCCAGUGGGGCAGGAACCUGGAGGCAGGAGCUGAUGUAGAGACUGUUGAGGAGUGCCGCUUACUGGCUUGCUCCCCAUGGUUUGCUCAGCCUGCUUUCUUACAGUGCCCAGGACCACAAGCCCAGAGAUGGAACCACCCACAAUGGGCUGGGCCCUCCUUCAUUAAUCACUAAUUAAGAAAAUGUCCUACAGCCUGAGCUUAUGGAGGCAUUUUCCCAGUUUCUCAAAGGAAGGUCUCUCCUUUUGGGUAAUGAGCUCGCAGCAAGUUAACAUAAGCUAGCCAGCACAGUAGGGGUUUACUUGGCUAAGAAAGAGCAUGUCUUGGUGGAUUGAAAGAACAUGGGCCCCAUAGGCCCAUAGGGAGUGACACUAUUAGGAGGUGUGGCCCUGUUUGAGGAACUGUGUAACAGGGGCUGGGCUUUGAGGUUUCAUAUGCUCAAACCAGGUCCAAUGUUGUGUUUUCUUUUCCUGCUGCGUGGAGGUUGUAGAACGCUCAGCUCCCUCUCCAGCACUAUGUCUGCCUGCAUGUUCCCCGUGUUUCCUGCCAUAAAGACAAGGGACUAAAUCUCUGAAACUGUAAACCAGCUCCAAUUAAAUGUUUUCUUUUCUAGGUGUUGCCAUGGUCAUGGUGUCUCUUCACAACAAUAGAACCCUAACUAAGACAAUAUUGUAGAAAAAAAGAAUAGCAUGUAAGGGGCUGGAGAGAUGGUUCAGUAGUUAAGAGCACUGGUUGCUCUUCCAUAGGACCCUGGUUCAAUUCCCUGCACCCACAUGGCAGCUCACAACUGUCUAAAACUCUGGUUCCAGAUGAUCUGAUGCCAACUUCUGGAUCUUGCAGGCACUGCAUACACAUGCUACACAGACACGCAUGCAGGCAAAACAUCCAUGCACUUAAGAUAUAAAUAAAGAGAAUAGCUUGUAAGGCUAGGGAGCCUCUCAACACUCACCUCCACAUCUGAAAUCAACCACAGUGUUGACUGAGAAGCACAAACAAGAAGGAGAGAAGAGAAAUAACAGAAACCAAAGUUCCCAGAACCGAAGGCAAGUUCUCCAGGCUGACGGGCAUGCAAAAAGGGGAUGACUCGUUAAGCAUGUGAUGGCUGCUCGUGCCUGUGCUACUCAGACCCCCACCUUCAGAAGCAAACUCAAGGAGUGGAUCCUUUAGCAGCUCUGGCAGACUCCAAGUAACUACGAUGCCCACCGCCCCAUGCUGCCCUGGAGGGCUGCUCUCUAGGCUGGCACGGAAAAGCCAAGGAUUUGUGUCACACGUGACUCUAGCAGCUGGCUCACAGACCAUGCGGAGUAAAUAGGUAGUGAGGCCAAGUGUGUCCCUCAGCUCGAGCCACAUAACAAGGGGGAGCAGGGGGAAUUGGAGUGUUGGUUGAGCUUUGACUCAUGGAAAGGAAUGACCAAUCUUCCCUUCAUGGAAGUUCUAGACUUAAACUAUGAGCAAUUUUAUAGCAUCAUGGAUCAGACUUCUUUGUGUUGAGUCUUGGAGAAUGACUCAAGGAGAAUGUUCCAAGGUCAGGAUGGCAGAAAUGCCAAGCUCCUGUUGGUCAACAAGCGCCUUAGUCUGCUUUAUAUUGACAUGAUGAAAGUCCUGACCAAAAGCAACUGUAGUGCCGUCAUGAUGGGGCUCUGAGCAGGAACUAAAGCCGAGGCCACGAAGGAGAGCUGCUUACUGGCUUGCUCCUCGUGGCUUUCUCAGCCUGCCCUCUUUUCUUUUUGUCUUGUUUGUCUUGAGACAGGGUUUCUCUGUGUAGCCUUGGCUGUCCUGGAUCUCAUUUUGUAGACUGGGCUGGACUCUAAUUCACAGAGUCCCACCUGUCUCUUCCUCCCAAGUGCUGGGAUUAAAGGGGUGCACCACAA